rnacentral:rRNA from 1 species
GAUGAACGCUGGCGGCGUGCCUAAUACAUGCAAGUCGAGCGAACGGACGAGAAGCUUGCUUUUCUGAUGUUAGCGGCGGACGGGUGAGUAACACGUGGAUAACCUACCUAUAAGACUGGGAUAACUUCGGGAAACCGGAGCUAAUACCGGAUAAUAUUUUGAACCGCAUGGUUCAAAAGUGAAAGACGGUCUUGCUGUCACUUAUAGAUGGAUCCGCGCUGCAUUAGCUAGUUGGUAAGGUAACGGCUUACCAAGGCAACGAUGCAUAGCCGACCUGAGAGGGUGCUCGGCAACACGGGACAUGAGACAGGGUACGGACUCAUGCGGGAGGCAGAAGUAGGGAAUCUUCAGAAAGGGGCAAAAGCCUGAGGGAGAAACGCGGCGGGAGUAAUGAAGGUUUUCGUAUCGAAAAACUUUGUUAUGAGGAAAAAAAAUAUGUGAAAGUAAGUGUGAAAUUCUGGACGAAACAAAAUAAGAAAGCCAGGAAAAACUACGUG